CACGGGGGGAGCAAGCGUUGUUCGGAAUCACUGGGCUUAAAGGGCGCGUAGGCGGGCUAUCAAGUCCGGGGUGAAAUCCUCCAGCUCAACUGGAGAACGGCCUCGGAUACUGAUGGUCUCGAGGAGGAUAGGGGCACACGGAACUGUGGGUGGAGCGGUGAAAUGCGUUGAUAUCCAUAGGAACUCCGGUGGCGAAAGCGGUGUGCUGGAUCCUUUCUGACGCUGAUGCGCGAAAGCCAGGGGAGCAAACGGG
rnacentral:rRNA from 1 species